CACGUAGGGCGCGAGCGUUGUCCGGAAUUAUUGGGCGUAAAGAGCUCGUAGGCGGCCUGUUGCGUCCGCUGUGAAAGCCCGGGGCUUAACCCCGGGUCUGCAGUGGAUACGGGCAGGCUAGAGGUAGGUAGGGGAGAAUGGAAUUCCCGGUGUAGCGGUGAAAUGCGCAGAUAUCGGGAGGAACACCGGUGGCGAAGGCGGUUCUCUGGGCCUUACCUGACGCUGAGGCGCGAAAGCUAGGGGAGCAAACAGG
rnacentral:rRNA from 1 species